GGGCGCUUGGUCUAGGGGUAUGAUUUUCGCUUCGCAUCGCCCGGGAACGGGUGUGGGCUUGUGAAAGGUCGUGGGUUCAAUUCCCACAGUGUCCA
rnacentral:tRNA from 1 species